rnacentral:lncRNA from 10 species
AUUAGAUUUAAAGUGGACUCAUUCCAAUUACAGGGCCUCGAAAGAGUCCUGUAUUGUUAUUUUUCGUCACUACCUCCCCGGGUCGGGAGUGGGCACGGCGACUACCAUCGAAAGUUGAUAGGGCAGACGUUCGAAUGGGUCGUCGCCGCCACGGGGGGCGUGCGAUCAGCCCGAGGUUAUCUAGAGUCACCAAAGCCGCCGGCGCCCGCCCCCCGGCCGGGGCCGGAGAGGGGCUGACCGGGUUGGUUUUGAUCUGAUAAAUGCACGCAUCCCCCCCGCGAAGGGGGUCAGCGCCCGUCGGCAUGUAUUAGCUCUAGAAUUACCACAGUUAUCCAAGUAGGAGAGGAGCGAGCGACCAAAGGAACCAUAACUGAUUUAAUGAGCCAAGCAUAUGCUACUGGCAGGAUCAACCAGGUAGGUAGGUAGAGCGCGGCGAGGCCCCGACGCGGCCGGACGGCCGGCCGGGGGGCCUCGCGAGGACGGGCCCGGCGCCCCGCAAGCGAGGAGGACGACGGACGGACGGACGGACGGGCCGCGGACGGCCCGACCCGCGCCCGGCGGCCGGGAGGGACCGGCG